rnacentral:tRNA from 1 species
GUGCAGGUGGCUCAGUGGUAGAGUGCUUGCUUCCUGUGCAUGAGGUCCUGGGUUCAAUCCCUCAGCACC